GUAAUGAACAAAUCAUUUGAUUCAGGUGUGUGUAAGAUCUAAAACCUGCAGGACACCGGCCCUUGAGGCCUGCAGUUCCCCAUCCCUGCCCUAGACCUUUGUCCUCCCUGGCUGCCUUUGCACACGGUGUCUGCUUAAAAGUGCUUAAAUAAAGGCACCAUACCAAAAGACAAAAUUUACUGGCCAGCAGAGAUGGAACAAGCUCAGGCAGAAGAAUAAAAACCAAACCAAAUGAGUGUUUUGGAUUUCUCACUUUUGGUUUAUGUUAAAUAUUAAACAAUUUCACAUGAAAAUCUUAUUUGUUAAACCAUUUGAAGAGUUCUGAGGGAAAGUGUAAAACUGGUGAAAGAUUACCUGAAAUGUGGCUGAAAAUAACAAAGCUGAAUGUGUCACAACUCAAAAAGGUAGAGAUCUGAUAGUUUAUAUCAUGUUUUUCAUGGAUUUAAUCCAUUCUGGAUGUAACAUAACAGCUAACUGUACAAGUUGAGCAGAGCAGGGGAGUAAAAGCAUGCAGAGAUGAGGUGCAGGAGGGUUCGGGGCUGGUGUGCAUGGAAAACUCCCAAAGAGGAAGAAAUACUAAACACCAUCAGGUUUCUAUGGCUGGAGGCUCCCAGGUGGUCUGCAUUACCUGAUCCUCUUCUUUAGCCAAUCAAAGCUAGAGGACUUCCAAACUGUGAUGGAACAGACCUCGGUACCCGUUUGGAUCCAUCCUAUAAAUCAACUGUUCUGUUCCAUCCCACUCAGAUAAAGGAAAAACUUUCUGCACACUGAUUAAAUCAAUGAUUACUGUCUGUUCAAAGUAUCACAUCGAUGCAGGAGGUGGACACGGUGAUCUGCAUCUCUACACAAUACUUUAAAUAAAGCUGGAAAUAAUGUUGAUAUCCGUGAUUGUGUAAACAGAUUUUCUUGAGUUUCUUUGAUCUCCACGACGUGCUGCACCACCGAGCCACAGAAAAACAUUCCUGCCCAUUAAUCUCUCUGCACAACUCCAUCUCUAAAGCAACAACACACACUGCAAUAGUUGCACACUUUGCUAUAUGUUGUAUUAUCACUGUUUCCAAAAUCCUGGAGCGACUGUGACCACAGAAUUUCCUCAGGGAUUCGUGAAGUUUUCUCAUUUCCUUCUGAUUUUAACAGUUUUAGCUGCAAAGUCUGUGCACAAAAUAGCCGAGACUGAGACUGCACAACGCCAAAUCCGAGACCACUAAACCUGGGAAUGGGUUCUGCAGACGGGAAAACAACUUCCAAGUCGAAACAAACGGAUGUUUCUUGGUAGAAAAGGCGGUCACUUUAA